CGGAUGCGUGUGGGGGUGUCCCCACAGUCCUGCAGAGGAGUGUGCUGUGAGGUGCCAGAGUGGACAGGAAGGGAACGGGAGGUGCGAGGAUGGAGCUGCCGCCACUGGCAGCGGCUGGGGCUGUGCAGAUGGAGGAAGCUGUCGAGAGGGCUGAGCAGAAGCGGCGGCAGUCCCCGAGCCCACCACCAUCGCCGAG